rnacentral:rRNA from 1 species
UAUUGGAAGUCGAACCGUGGGAAUUGAAGCAUCUUAGUACCACGUGGAAAAGAAAUCAAUUGAGAUUUCCCAAGUAGUGGCGAACGAAAAGGAAAUAGCCCAAACUGAAUCCUUCGGGAGAUGUGGUGUUUUGGUAUGAUAAUAUGGAAUCCUGGAUCCCAGUUGAAGUAAUCUGGAACGUUAUGGCAUAGAGGGUGAUACCCCCGUAAACGAAGUGUGAAGGGUCCUAUUCAUACCAGAGUAGUUGUCCUUGGUAGUGGGCAAUGAAUAUGGGUGAAAGUAGCAUCCGAGGCUAAAUAUCUCUCAAGACCGAUAGUGGACUAGUACCGUGAGGGAAAGCUGAAAAGUACCCCGGAAGGGGGGUGAAAAGUGCAUGAAACCUAUUGGUUACAGACGUGCGUGGC